UACGUAGGGCGCAAGCGUUAAUCGGAAUACUGGGCGUAAAGCGUGCGCAGGCGGUGAUGUAAGACAGUUGUGAAAUCCCCGGGCUCAACCUGGGAAUUGCAUCUGUGACUGCAUCGGCUAGAGUACGGUAGAGGGGGAUGGAAUUCCGCGUGUAGCAGUGAAAUGCGUAGAUAUGCGGAGGAACACCGAUGGCGAAGGCAAUCCCCUGGACCUGUACUGACGCUCAUGCACGAAAGCGUGGGGAGCAAACAGG
rnacentral:rRNA from 1 species